rfam:Ornithorhynchus anatinus chromosome 3, whole genome shotgun sequence.
CCCCUCUCAGGGUCGCACCUGGAGAGUUUCCAGUACUUUACUAGUCUCAACUACAGGAGGGAGAGUUAAGUAGAGGCAUACCCAUUCCAUUCCUAGCUUGGGCAGUGGCUAGUGAGUGGAAGGCAAUUUGCUACAAGU